CCAUGAGGCCGUAAGGCGUAAUCGAUGCACAGCAGGUUAAAUAUUCCUGCGCUGGCUGGGAUUAAGGCUGUGAAUGACACAUGGGAAGACAUCGGCUAGGCAAUUGAAUGCUGAGCUUAGGCUUCGGCCGAAGCGUACCGGUGGGUUCCUGUGUCUAGAAAAGUUUGCAGUUGUUUCCCCAGUCACCCGUACCGUAAACCGACACAGGUGGGUGAGUGUAAGCGCACUCAGGCGCGCGAGAGAGACCUCUCUAAGGAACUCGGCACAUUAGCCCCGUAACUUCGGGAAAAGGGGUGCUCACUUCGGUGAGUCUCAGUAAAUUGCGUUUAGCGACUGUUUAACAAAAACACAGCACUCUGCAAAGUCGUGAAGACGACGUAUAGGGUGUGACACGUGACCAAUGCGGAAAGAUCAAGGUGACUUGUUAGCCGCAAGGCGAAGCUCGGAGCCUAAGUCCCCGUGAAUGUCGGCCGUAACUAUAACGGUCCUAAGGUAGCGAAAUUCCUUGUCGGGUAAGUUCCGACCUGCACGAAUCGUGUAACGACUGAACGACUGUCUCGGAGAGGAUCUCGGCGAAACUGUAACGGCGGUGAAGAUGCCGCCUGCCCGCAGUAGGACGGAAAGACCCUAUGCACCUUUACUGUAAGCUCGUAUUGGGUUCUGAUUAGUGAUGCUUAGCGUAGGUGGGAGACUUUGAAGGGCUGGCUUCGGUCAGCUUGGAGUCGAAAUGUGAAACACCACUCUUUAUUAAUUAGGAUUCUAACCUCUCGCUGUUAGCCAGCAGAGGGACAUUGCGUGCGGGUCAGUUUGACUGGGGCGGUUUCCUCCCAAAUGGUAACGGAGGAGCGCGAAGGUAUUCUCAGCACGGUUGGCAACCGUGCGUCGAGCGAAUGGGUAGAAGAAUGCUUAACUGUGAGACCAACAAGUCGAGCAGAUACGAAAGUAGGCCCAAUUGAUCCGACGGUUUAAUGUGGAAUUGCCGUCGCUCAUCGGACAAAAGGUACGCUAGGGAUAACAGGCUGAUCGAGUCCAAGAGUUCACAUCGACGACUCGGUUUGGCACCUCGAUGUCGGCUCAUCGCAUCCUGGGGCUGGAGAAGGUCCCAAGGGUCCGGCUGUUCGCCGGUUAAAGCGGUACGCGAGCUGGGUUCAGAACGUCGUGAGACAGUUCGGUCCUUAUCCACUGUGGGCGCAGGAAACUUGAGGGGUUCAAACCUUAGUACGAGAGGACCGGGUUUGACGCACUUCUGGUGUGGCAAUUGUUCCGUCAGGGGCAUCGUUGCGUAGCCAUGUGCGGAAGAGAUAAGCGCUGAAAGCAUCUAAGUGCCAAGCUCAUCCCAAGAUAUUGUUUCCCGGAGCACAAGCUCCCUAAAGACCCCAGCGAGACUAGCUGGUUGAUAGGUCAGGCGUGCAAGCGCUGUGAGGCGUUUAGCGGACUGAUACUAAUCGGUCGUGCGGCUUGAUCGC
rnacentral:rRNA from 1 species